rnacentral:misc_RNA from 1 species
GCAAACUUGGUCAUUUAGAGGAAGUAAAAGUCGUAACAAGGUUUCCGUAGGUGAACCUGCGGAAGGAUCAUUAACGAAUUGUAAAGGAGGUUGAUGCUGGCUUUUUAUUAGGCAUGUGCUCGCCUCCGACAAUCCUUAUCCAUACACCUGUGCACCUCUGAGGGGUUUCUGUCCGUCUGGUCUUAAACCCCUCUUUUUAUCACAAACCCUUUCUUAUAACAUCGAACGUGAAUUAGUGCCGUUAAGGCCUUAAACAAAUACAACUUUUAACAACGGAUCUCUUGGCUCUCGCAUCGAUGAAGAACGCAGC